UACGUAGGGUGCAAGCGUUAAUCGGAAUUACUGGGCGUAAAGCGUGCGCAGGCGGCUUUGCAAGCCAGAUGUGAAAUCCCCGGGCUUAACCUGGGAACUGCAUUUGUGACUGCAUGGCUGGAGUGCGGCAGAGGGGGAUGGAAUUCCGCGUGUAGCAGUGAAAUGCGUAGAUAUGCGGAGGAACACCGAUGGCGAAGGCAAGCCUCUGGGCCUGCACUGACGCUCAUGCACGAAAGCGUGGGGAGCAAACAGG
rnacentral:rRNA from 1 species